rnacentral:rRNA from 1 species
UACGGGGGGGGUAAGCGUUGUUCGGAAUUACUGGGCGUAAAGGGCUCGUAGGCGGCCAACUAAGUCAUACGUGAAAUCCCUCAGCUUAACUGGGGAACUGCGUGUGAUACUGGAUGGCUUGGAUUUGGGAGAGGGAUGCGGAGUUCCAGGUGUAGCGGUGAAAUGCGUAGAUAUCAGGAGGAACACCGGUGGCGAAGGCGGGUCUCUGGGCCGAUACUGACGCUGAGGAGCGAAAGCGUGGGGAGCGAACAGG